UGGCUUUGGUGGGUAAGGAUGUUGGGAUUAAAGGUAGGCUAUCAAACAAAAUAGAAAGGUUAAGUGUGGCUGGAAAUGAAUUUUUAGUACUUCGGCAGCAAACAAUGCUUUACAAACUCAAAACGAAUUUCAAUCACUUUUUUUUUAAUUCCGAAACUUUUUUUUCUUUUUUUUUCGAAUUUCCUCUUUUUUUCAAUACUGAAUACAAAAGAAGACGAGAAA
rnacentral:lncRNA from 1 species